AUUAAACGCUGGCGGCAUGCCUUACACAUGCAAGUCGAACGGCAGCACGGGAGCUUGCUCCUGGUGGCGAGUGGCGGACGGGUGAGUAAUACAUCGGAACGUGCCCUGGAGUGGGGGAUAACGCAGCGAAAGCUACGCUAAUACCGCAUAUUCUGUGAGCAGGAAAGCAGGGGAUCGCAAGACCUUGCGCUCUAGGAGCGGCCGAUGUCGGAUUAGCUAGUUGGUGGGGUAAAGGCCCACCAAGGCGACGAUCCGUAGCGGGUCUGAGAGGAUGAUCCGCCACACUGGGACUGAGACACGGCCCAGACUCCUACGGGAGGCAGCAGUGAGGAAUUUUGCGCAAUGGGGGCAACCCUGAACCAGCCAUCCCGCGUGCAGGAAGAAUGCCCUAUGGGUUGUAAACUGCUUUUAUCUGGGAAGAAAAGCCGGCAUUUAUGUUGGUCUGACGGUACCAGAGGAAUAAGCACCGGCUAACUCCGUGCCAGCAG
rnacentral:rRNA from 1 species